UAAGAAUUUAAAAGUCGAACAGACUUACUAUUAAGAAUUCUGCUUCUUAAAAUUUUCUUAAUUCAACAUCGAGGUCGCAAAAUAAAAUAUAGAUAUGAACUCCCCAUUAAAAUUACGCUGUUAUCCCUAAGGUAACUUAAUCUUUUUACCCUUAGCUAAAGGAUCUAAAAUUACAUAAAUAAAUGAAUGUUAAAACUAAAGUUAAUUAUUUAGUCACCACCCCAGCAAAAUACAAAAUAUACAUCAAAAAGUAUAUAAAAUAAAACUUAAUAAAAUAAAAUUAUAUAAAGUUCUAUAGGGUCUUAUCGUCCCAAUAAACUAAUAAAGCAUUUUAACUUUAAAUUUAAAUUUUAAUAUUUAAAAAAAUAAAAUAUAAUUCUCAUACACCCAUUCAUACAAGCUUUCAAUUAAAAAACUAAUUACUAUGCUACCUUUGCACAGUCAAAAUACUGCAGCCAUUUAGAAAUUCAAACCAUAGGGCAGAAGAUACUUUCUAUAAAACCA
rnacentral:rRNA from 1 species